rnacentral:tRNA from 2 species
GCAGAGAUGGUAGAGAGGUCGAUUACGGCAGUCUUGAAAACUGUUGAUGGCAACAUCCGGGGGUUCGAAUCCCUCUCUCUGCGCCA